rnacentral:piRNA from 1 species
UGGGUUUAUGCCUAGGAAUGGUAGAGCUG